rnacentral:rRNA from 1 species
GACGAACGCUGGCGGCGUGCUUAACACAUGCAAGUCGAGCGGUAAGGCCCUUUCGGGGGUACGACGAGCGGCGAACGGGUGAGUAACACGUGGGUGACCUGCCCUCAGCUCUGGGAUAAGCCUGGGAAACCGGGUCUAAUACUGGAUAUGACUCCAUGACGCAUGUUGUGGGGUGGAAAGCCUUGUGCGGCUGAGGAUGGGCCCGCGGCCUAUCAGCUUGUUGGUGGGGUGAGGCCUACCAAGGCGACGACGGGUAGCCGGCCUGAGAGGGCGACCGGCCACACUGGGACUGAGACACGGCCCAGACUCCUACGGGAGGGCAGCAGUGGGGAAUCUUGCGCAAUGGGCGAAAGCCUGACGCAGCGACGCCGCGUGAGGGAUGACGGCCUCGG